rnacentral:rRNA from 1 species
CGCCUCUUGCAAAAUUAAUGAAUAAGAGGUCCCGCCUGCCCUGUGACCAUGAGUUUAACGGCCGCGGUAUUUUGACCGUGCAAAGGUAGCGCAAUCACUUGUCUUUUAAAUGAAGACCCGUAUGAAUGGCAAGACGAGGGCUUAGCUGUCUCCUUUUUCAAGUCAAUGAAAUUGAUCUUCCCGUGCAGAAGCGGGAAUCCACCCAUAAGACGAGAAGACCCUAUGGAGCUUUAGACACCAAGACAGACCACGUCAAGACCCCCUAACAAAGAACCGAACUAAGUGAACCCUGUCCUAAUGUCUUUGGUUGGGGCGACCACGGGGAAAUACAAAACCCCCGCGUGGACUGGGGGCACUCCUGCCCCUACAACCAAGAGCUCCCGCUCUAAUAAACAGAACUUCUGACCAACAAGAUCCGGCUAUGCCGAUCAACGAACCGAGUUACCCUAGGGAUAACAGCGCAAUCCUCUUUUAGAGCCCAUAUCGACAAGAGGGUUUACGACCUCGAUGUUGGAUCAGGACAUCCUAAUGGUGCAGCCGCUAUUAAGGGUUCGUUUGUUCAACGAUUAAAGUCCU